GGAGAGGUGCCGGAGCGGCUGAUCGGGGCGGUCUCGAAAACCGUUGUGCCCUUUUGGGUACCCAGGGUUCGAAUCCCUGCCUCUCCG
rnacentral:tRNA from 1 species